UUACAAAAAUACUAAGAGGAAUUGACAAGGUGGACAAAGACAGGAUGUUCCAGAGACUGGACACAGCAACACGGGGACACAGUUGGAAGCUGAAGACACAGAUGAAUCAAAGGGAUGUUAGGAAGUAUUUCUUCAGUCACAGAGUAGUCAGGAAGUGGAAUAGUUUGGGAAGCGAUGUAGUGGAGGCAGGAUCCAUACAUAGCUUUAAGCAGAGGUACGAUAAAGCUCAUGGUUCAGGGAGAGUGACCUAGUAGCGACCAGUGAAGAGGCGGGGCCAGGAGCUUGGACUCGACCCCUGCAACCUCAACUAGGUGAGAACUAGGUGAGUACACAACCACACACAUACAACCCCACACAUACAACCACAUACAACCCCACACACAAGGAGACAGAAAUGAGGCACUAAACUAUAGAUCAGUGUCACUGAAUUUUAUGACAAGGUAUCAAAAGUAAGACAGAGAGAGGGGUAGGUUGAUUGCAUUUUCCUGGAUGGCAAGAAGGCCUUCAACACAGUUCCUCACAAGAGAUUAGUGCAGAAGCUAGAGGAUCAGGCACGUACAAUGGGAAGGGCACUGCAAUGGAUCAGAGAAUACCUGACAGGGAGACAACGAGUCAUGGUACAUUAUGAGGUAUCACAGUGGGCACCUGUGAUGAGUGGGGUCCCACAGGGGUCAGUCCUAGUACAAUUGCUAUUUUUGGUAUAUGUGAAUGACAUGAUGGAAGAGAUAGACACAGAAGUGUUCAUGUUUGCAGAUGAUAUGAAGUUAAUGAGGAGAAUUAAAUCAGAUGAGGAUCAGGCAGGACUACAGAGAGACCCGGACAGGCUGAACGCGUGGUCCAGCAGCUGGCUUCUUGAAUUUAACCCUGCCAAAUCCAAAGUCAUGAAGAUUGGGGAAGGGCAAAGAAGACCACAGACAGAGUAUAGGCUAGGUGGACAAAGACUACAAACCUCGCUCAAGGAGAAAGAUCUUGGAGUGAGUAUAGCACUGAACAUGUCUCUGGAUGCACACAUUAACCAGAUAACUGCUGCAGCAUAUGGGCUCCUGGCAAACUUGAAAAUAGCAUUCCGAUACCUUAGUAAGGAAUCAUUCAAGACUUUGUAUUGCAUGUAUGUCAGGUCCAUACUGGAGUAUGCAGCACCAGUCUGGAACCCACACCAGGUCAAGCACAUCAAGAAAUCAGAGAAAGUGCAAAGGUUUGCAACAAGGGUAGUUCCAGAGCUAAGGGUAAUGUCCUAUGAAGAAAGGUUAAGGGAUAUCAGCCUGAUGACACUGGAGGACAGGAGGGUUAGUGGAGACGUGAUAACGACAUACAAAAUACUGUGAGGAAUAGAUAAGAUGGACAGAGACAGGAUGUUCCAGAGAGGGGACACAGAAACAAGGGGUCAUAAUUGAAAACUGAAGACUCUGGUGAGUCAAUGAGAUGAUAGGAAGUAUUUCUAAAGUCACAGAGUAGUCGGGAAGUGGAAUAGUUUGGGAAGCGAUAUAGUGGAGGCAGGAUCCACUCAUAGCUUUAAGCAGAGGUAUGAUAAAGCUCAUGGUGCAGGGAGAGUGACCCAGUAGCAGCCAGUGAAGAGGUGGGGUCAGGAGCUAUGACUCGACCCCUGCAGCCACAACUAGGUGAGUACACAAACACACACACACACACAGAGUAGUGACCAGUGAAGAGGCAAGGGCAGGAGCUAUGACUUGACCCCUUCAACAACAGGUGAGUACACACAAUGUGCACACUCUGGCUGGGUACAAAAUUGACCUAAUUUACCCAAAAUGCUGUGCAUAACUAGGGACUUUAUAGUAGUAUGUCACUGAUGUCAGCUAAGCAUACAUGUACUUGUAGAAAUAAAGAUUAUUAUUAUCUCUCACUUUCUCACACACAAACAAGAAUUGCUGGAUUACUAGCGCACUCAGCUCUAACACUGAGGUCCGUGGAUGUGUUUCCUUAAGACACCUCUGUCCAUGUUCACCUAGCAGUAAAAUAGGUACCUGGGUAUUAUUUGACUGGUGGGUUGCAUCCUGUGGCAAAAUUGACGUAAUUUGCCCGAAAUGAUCUGCAUAACGAGGGGCUUUCUGUAUAGUAGUUUGUCAUUGAUGUCAGCUAGGUGUACUUGUAUAAAUAAAGAUUAUUAUUAUUCUU